rnacentral:tRNA from 1 species
GAUAGUUCAGUCGGUAGAACGGCGGACUGUUAAUCCGUAUGUCGCAGGUUCAAGUCCUGCUC